GUUGGGUGCAGUGGCACACACCUGUAAUCCCAGCAGCUCAGGAGGCUGAGGCAAGAGGAUCACAAGUUCAAAACCAGCCUCAGCAAUUUAGCAAGGCCCUAAGCAACUUAGUGAGACCUUGUCUCAA
rnacentral:sRNA from 1 species